rnacentral:siRNA from 1 species
UGCCUCGGCAUCAGCGUGCUCCGGG